AUGAAGUUCUUCUCGGCGUUCGACCCGUGGCCGGUGUUCUUCCGCCGGGAGUGGGGCCGCACCUGGCCCUUCCUCGCCGGCUUCGCCGUCACGGGGGCCCUCAUCACCAAGAUGACCGCCGGCUUCACCAAGGAGGACCUCAAGAACUCCAAGUUCGUCCAGGCGCACAAGAAGAAGUAG
rnacentral:rRNA from 1 species